rnacentral:rRNA from 1 species
CCUGGUUGAUACUGCCAGUAGCAUAUGUUUAUCUCAAAGAUUGACCCAUUCAUGUGUAAGUACACAUUGCUGGUACAGUGACACUGUGAAUGGCUCAUCGAAUUAAUGUUGGUUCCUUUCAUCACACUAUCUGUUACUUUGAAAACUAGUAGUAAUUCUACGGCAAAUACAUGCCGACAAAUGCUGACCUUCUACGAUGCGUACAUUGUUCAGACCAAGACAAAUCCGGGAUGUCCAGGCUGCUUUGGUGACUCUAACAAAGCUUGGUCAGAUGGCAUGUCUCUGUGAUGGUGACAAUGCAUUCAGAUGUCUGCCCUACCAACUUCUGAUUGUACUUUUGUGCCUACCAUUGGUGACAAUGGGUAACAGGGAAUUAGGCUUUGAUUCCAGAGAGGGACCUGAGAAAUGGCUAGCAAAUCCAAGGAAUGCAGCAGGAGUUCAAAUAAUCCACUCUGACUCAGGAGGUAGUUACAGGAAAUGACAAUACAGGACUCUUUCGAGGCCCUAUAAUUGGAAUGAGUACACUUUAAAUCAUUUUAUCGAGGAUUCAUUCGAGGGCAUGCUGGGGCCUGCAGCCAUGGUAAUUCCAGCUCCAAUAGCAUAUAUUAAAGUUGCUGCAGUUAAAAAGCUUGUAGUUGGAUCUUCAUAUCAAGCUAGCAGUCCGACGCGAGGCAAGCUUCUUGGCACCCCUUGAUGAUCUUGACUGAGUUUGGAGUCUGAAGCAUUUACUUUGAAAACAUAGUGUUCAAAGUGGGCAAAUCGCAUGAAUGGUACAGCUAGGAAUGAUGGAAUCGGACUCCAGGUCUAAUUUGUCGGUUUUCAGAACUUGGGCCAUAGUAAGAGGGACAGGCGGCGACAUUCGUUUUGUGCCGCUGAAGGUGAAAUUCUUGACCAUCGUACUUUCUGACCAUUAACUAUGCCAACUAGCGAUCUGGCAGUGUUUUUCCCAUGACUCACCAAGCAACUUCUGGAAAUCAAAGUCUUUGUGUUCCAUUGGUAGUAUGGUUGCAAAGCAGAAACUUAAAGGAUUUGAUGGAAGGUCACCACCAGUGUGGAUCCUGUGGCUUCAUUUGACUCAACAUGGAAAACCUCACCUUCCCUGGACACAGAAAGACUUGACAGAUUGAUGGCUCUUUCACAAUUCUGUGUCCAUUCUUAGUUGGUGAAGCGAUUUGUCUGGUUGACUCUGAUAAUGAAUGAUAAUCCUCCAUGCUAACCAGUUACGCAACCCCUAGUGCUUAGCGUUCAAUUUAUAAGAGGCAGAAGUGGCAUUCAGCCACACAAGAUCGAGCAAUAACAGGUCUGUGAUGCCCUUAGAUAUCCGGGGGUGCAUGCACACUACACUGAAUGGAUCAGCGUGUGUCUACCCUUUGCCAACACGCGCAGGUAACCCGCUGAACCCCGUGCUUGAUAAGGAUUGCGGAUUGCAAUGAUUUCCAUGAACGAGGAAUUCCCAGUAAGUGCAAGUCAUAAGCUCAAAUUGAUUAAGUCCUUGUUCAUUAUACACACCAUCCAUCACUACUAACAAUUGGAUGCUUUAGUGAGGCCCUCGGAUCGGCCCACUGGGGUGGGCAACGACCCCGGCAGAGCACCAAGAAGACUAUCAAAAUAUCUAGAGGAACUAAAAGUCAUAAAAGGUUUCAGUAGGUGAACCUGCAGAAG